CUUGCACUGGUGGGGUCCCUCAGCCUGGCCUGUACCCUAUCACAAUCUGGGACCCCUCAGGGGAUGUCAGAGAGCCAGUUUCAGCCUGAUCCCCGCAGGCCAGGCCGAGGGACCCCACCAGUGCACG
rfam:Myotis lucifugus cont2.18698, whole genome shotgun sequence.